GCUCCCAUGGCGUAGUGGUCACUGCACUCGCCUUGCACGCGGGAGACCUGGGUUCGAUUCCCGGCGGGGUCA
rfam:Asian citrus Psyllid, Diaphorina citri - Florida Strain, whole genome shotgun sequence.